AGAAUCAACGCUGGCGGCGUGCCUAACACAUGCAAGUCGAACGAGAAAGUGGAGCAAUCCAUGAGUAAAGUGGCGGCACGGGUGAGUAACACGUGACUAACCUACCCUUGGAGUGGGGGAUAACCUAGGGAAACCUGGGCUAAUACCGCAUAAUACCUUCGGGUCAAAGGAGCAAUUCGCUUAAGGAGGGGGUCGCGGCCGAUUAGUUAGUUGGCGGGGUAAUGGCCCACCAAGACUGUGAUCGGUAU
rnacentral:rRNA from 1 species